rnacentral:rRNA from 1 species
GUAAGGAAUAUUGGUCAAUGGGGGCAACUCUGACGCAGCCAUGCCGCGUGCAGGAAGAAGGCGCUACGCGUUGUAAACUGCUUUUAACCGGGAAGAAACCCCAGGACGUGUCCUGGGUUGACGGUACCGGAGGAAUAAGCACCGGCUAACUUCGUGCCAGCAGCCGCGGUAAUACGAAGGGUGCAAGCGUUAUCCGGAUUCAUUGGGUUUAAAGGGUGCGUAGGCGGAGCGUUAAGUCAGUGGUGAAAUCCUGCAGCUUAACUGUAGACUUGCCAUUGAUACUGGCGCUCUUGAGUGCGCUUGAAGUGGGCGGAAUGUGCCGUGUAGCGGUGAAAUGCUUAGAUAUGGCACAGAACACCAAUUGCGAAGGCAGCUCACUAAGGCGAUACUGACGCUGAGGCACGAAAGCGUGGGGAUCGAACAGGAUUAGAUACCCGUGUAGUCC